ensembl:lncRNA
UAGGGCAACAGUGUCUAGAUGGAAUUUGUAUUUGUGGUCCUGGUGACUGGACCUUUUUUGGAAAACCAUUAUUUUGGUCUUACUGAGAUUUACUGUCAGGGCCCAGGUCUGACAGAAUCUGUGCAUAAGAUCUAGGUGCUGCUAUAGGCCCUCCUUGGUUGGUGACAGAAGCACCAGAUCAUCAACAAACAGCAGACAUUUGAAAUAUGUGUGCUUUUUGCCAAUUUUAACCGCGCACUUGUUGUUUGUGUACAUGGAUUUUAUAAUGUCGUAUGUUUUACCCCCAACACCACUUUCCAUCAGUUUGUAUAGCUCUCUCUCUCUCCCCCAAUUCUCUCUCUCGCUCUGUUCAUCUUUCUUUCUGUCACACUCUCCAUUUCAUUGUUCAAUUCGAAGGGGUUUAUUGGGAAACAUCUAUGUUUACAAAAGGGAAAUUAACAAGGGAAAUAAACAGUAAACAAAUGUUUUUGAAUUUUUUUAAACCUAGCAAGUUGCACAAUAUUCAACCCACUAGUGGUUCGAGCGUUGGGCCAGUAGCCAGCAGGUAGCGUAGUGGUUCGAGCGUUGGGCCAGUAGCCAGCAGGUAGCGUAGUGGUUCGAGCGUUGGGCCAGUAGCCAGCAGGUAGCCUAGUGGUUAGAGCGUUGGGCCAGUAACCCAAAAGGUUGCUGGAUUGAAUCCCUGAGCUGACAAGGUAAAAAUCUGUUGUUCUACCCCUGAACAAGGCAGUUAACCCACUGUUCCCUGGGUGCUGUGGAGGUUGAUUAAGGCAGCCCCCCGCACCCAGGUCUGUCAGGGCCCAGGUCUGUCAGGGC